rnacentral:lncRNA from 1 species
AUUUUGAAAGUAAAUUAUUUUCAGCAUAACGCAAAAAAAAAAAACAUUAAAAAAUGAUUUUAAUUUUUUUUAAAAUUUUUUUAUGGGGUAGACAUCGUCUUCCGGUUAUUGAUAUUAUGUAAUUCGUGAACUUCUUUUAAUCAAGUAUGACUUAAAGCCAUGAAGUUUUAGACCUAGAAUAGAUGAUAUCCACUCAAAAGGGAAAAAAAAUAAAAAAAUCCUUAUAACCUUUUUUUUGAAUGAUGUUAAUUUGCUAUUUUCCUUUACCAUAUAAUCUUACAAGUUAUACCUUAAAAUAAUGAUCGAAUUUACAAUUUUGAUGUCCAAUUUUCAAAUAAACAUAUUCAGGAUGUUAAAAAAUCGAGACUCAUAAUAAAGACUAUUUCUAACAUGUAAAUAUGUCAAAAUGGUGACUUUUAAUUGUAUAGACAAAUUUUAAAAUAAUAAAAAUUAUGAAUGAUAAUAGGGUAAGAGUCGCUUAUGUCCUGACCCACGCAUAUCAUUUAAACUUAUUUUUAUUCCCGACUUAUAUUAUUUAAACCUAUUAUUAUUUUGUAAAAAAAAAACAAAAUGAACUUUCAUUACAUUUAAAAUAAAUAAUUAUAUACAAUUGGAAAAUUAUAGAAUACAAUACCCAAAUUCGCCCCAAACCCGAUGCAAGAUUUUUUAAAAGAAAUCUCAAUCCCUCAUCAUACCCAACUCAUCAUGUACUCCAAAAGAAAUGUCCCUUGUCAUCCUAGUAAAUAUCGGUGGAAACAUACACAAAAGGCCGUAAAAGAAGCCUUUAUAAGAUGUAUGUUGUGUCAUUUGGAAAAUCACCAAGGGUAUUUUUGGUAUUUCGUGUCACAAAAUAGUUGUUAUCUCCAACUUGGACCCUGUGACCAGUGGUGCAUCAUGUGACCACGAAGUAGCUGCGUAAUGCGCCAUCCACCUGGUCGGUCCAGCUAUGAUUCCAUGUUUGCCACUCCACCCUAAUACCAUGCAACAUCACGUAAUCACCUCAUCAUAACCACUCAUCCAGUCUCAUCAUUGCGAAUCAUUUCAGCUUCGGCUUAAACCCCAUGAGCCCCACCCUCAACUAUUGAUUACCAUCCCGACCAGGAUAUCGAUUCAUCAUAAUCAGGCUUUUCAGGUUUAGGUGUGAUGGCAAAUCUCGGCCGUUGAAAGCAUCAUAUAAGGGGUGGUGCGGUGUGAGUGUGGAACACUCUACUCUGUUUUCUCCACCUAUUCUCAUUUCACCUUUAAAGGGCUUUGAAGGCAAUUAUUCAAAAGCAACUACCCCCACUCUACAUCACAUAUACAUAUUUUUCUUUUUCUUUUUCUUUUUCUUUUUGAUAUAAUUUUUAUAUAAAUAAUAAAUAAAUAGAUGAAAAAUAUUUUUUAUGAGAUUUUUAAGUGGUUUUUAUUUUUUGAAAAAAUUAUAUAUAUACACAUAUUUUAUAUAAAUUUUGACACCAAUUAAAUUGUCAUAAUAAUAAUUAAAACUUUUUUUAAAUCUUUAUUUUUCAUAGAAUUUAUACUAUUUUAAUAUUGUAUUAAUAUAUUAUGUGUAAAACUUUGAUUGAAAAUGUUUUUUAAAAUUUAUUUUUAAAAAUUGUUUAUAGAAAACAAUGGCUAAAGAAUUUUAUAAAAUUUUAAAAACAGGAAACUAUUUUCAAAUCACACGACCAAACACAUUCAUGUAUUUUUGGAAUAAUGGUUCUCAAUUAGAAGAUUUACUUCAAAUAAUAUUACACCAUUAAAUUAUAUUUUAUUGUCAUUUUUAACUUGAUGACAAGAUAAAAUAAUUAUUUAAUUAAUGGGUAUUACCAUAUAAAUAAAAUAAAAACAUAUUUAAAACAUUAUAACUAAAAUUCCUUUCUUUUUUUUUUUGUUUUCUUUAGUUGCAACUUUACAAAUAUUUUCAAUAAUUGCAUGAUUUUCAAUUUCUUUUGUAUUUUAAUAUCACAAAAUUUUGUUUGUGGAUUGUUUCUUGUCCAUCCAAACUCAAAUAUCAAAUAUUAUUUUUUUUAGUUAUUUAUAGUAAAUAUACCAUACACUCAUAUACACUUCAAAAAAUUUUAAAAUAUUUUUAAUUAUUAUUGAGCAUAUCAUAAAUAAUUUUAGUAACAAAUAUUAAAAAAAGUUAUUAAUUUUGUUUUAAAUAAAAAAUAAUAAUUUUUAAAAAAUGUUUUUACUUAUAGGUGUUAUCAUAUUUAUAUGAUAUUUUACAUCGAAGAUGAGAGAAAAUUUUUGACGUUAUAUAAAUAUAAAUUUAUCUUAACAUUAUAGAUGUGAUUUAUCUUGAUCUUAUAGAUGUAUUUUAAAGUUGUAAAAGCCUUCGAGUUAAUAGCAAGUUGUGUAGUUUCUAUGCUUGAUUGGUAUUCAAAUCGGGAAACUUUUAGAUUUUUAUAUACUAAGUUAUAAAUUUAUAUUAAAAAUAAAAGUAGUUAAUUACUAAAUUGAGAAAAAUUACUAUAAUAAAAAAACGAUAAAUAGGUAAGAAUUGCACCACCCUUUCCUAUUUGGUUUUUUAUUCCACCUUUUUCUUUCUUAUUUUGAUUCCACCAUCUCUCUCUCUCUCUCUCUCUCUCUCUCUCUCUCCUUUCUUAGACUCCACUUUUCCAUUCCUAUUCCCAUUCCAAUUCCAAUCCUUCUUUCUCUUACUAAAACCACACUCGCUUUUGCUUUUUUUUUUCUAUUUUUCCCUGGGAAAUCAGGAGAAAACCGUUCAACAGGCGAUUCUUUGAUUCUCUCUCUUCAAUCUCUCCGCACAAUUCUUAGAUUCCAAACACUUCCUGAAUUUGUUGUCCUCUGCCCUAAUUCGAGCAAUUUCCCUCGCUUUCCCGCCAGCCAAACACGCGUCUUUGAUCCAAUUGUGGUAGGGUUUUUGUGGUUUGGGGUCUGGAAGGAUGGACUCCGAGGACGAUAUGCACGAUGCUAACGAUGUCGACUCUUUGGAGGACUUCUACAGCGGCGACACCGCGGCCGACUCCGACGACGACAACGACGCCGAUUACGACUUCGACAACGAUUCCGAUGACGACGCCGACGCCAUCAUGUUGCAUCGCCAUCAGGUCUGGUCGAUUCCGGAUUGAAGCUGUGGGCUUUGUUUUUUUUAUUCAUGUUUGGCCCUGGAAGAAAAAGUUGUCGGCUUUUCCCGGAAAGCUGAGUUCUUUUUCUUUGUUUACCUUUUUGUUUAGUCGCAUGCUGAUUUCUUGAUUUAACCUUUUGCCGUAUCGGUGCUCCGUCAGCUGCGUUUGUGCAAAUUUUUGUGUGGGUAUUUGGCUAAUUGAUUUUGGAUUUUUUUAUUUUAUGAUUACUUCAAGAGUUUAUAGCUGUUUAGGCUAUUUUUCUGAACUAGAAAUGAUGUCCUGUUUCUUUAUCUGCUGUUUGGUUGCUGAGAAAACUUGAGAAAAGAGAAGAAAGAGAUAAUUCUUGAAUGGGAUUUUUGUACCAUGCUGGUUUAGGCUCAGGAAGGUCUUUAUUUAAAUUAUCUCUGCAUGUUUGCCAAGAAAACAAAGGAACUAUAAAACUCGGAAAGGAAUAAUUUAAGUGCUUGGGAUUGUUAAAGGGGCUGCAGAUGCUGAUUCUUUUAAGUUUUGUCUACGGGAACUUUUUGUGGGUUUGAAUAAUGUUGCAACAUUGGGCGAUUGCUGUUUAAAUUUCUUACUAUAAUGGUUAACCUAUCUGAUCAAGUUAAUCUAUAUAACUUUUCCUUCUAAGUUUUACCAAUGUUGUUUUGGAUUUCAGCCUAAUUAUACCAUCUUAAAGGAAGAAGAUAUACAUCAGCAUCAGGAAGAUGAUAUUGCAAGAGUAGCUGCUGUUCUUUCAAUAGCAAGUGUUUCAGCGAGCAUCCUGCUCCGCCACUACCAUUGGUAAACUUUUUGCUCAAUGGUGCUUGUCACAUUUAGUUGAUAUCAAGGUGCAGAUAUCCUUUUUUCUCAUUUCAGUGUUUUUAUGCUUGAUUGCGCAAUCUCAUUUUUAUAUGCAAGUUCAUUUGGACUGAUGUCUAGAAUACCUGUGCACUUUACAUGUAAGGUUAGCUAUGAAUUGUAGUUGUAGCAAUAUUUUUCUUGCUACAUUCUUGUUGAGGCUGUAGUGCCAUUUCUUCUGGCAUUUUAUCCUUCUAAAAGAGAGUUGGCCUUGCAGGAGUGUUAGUAAAGUCAAUGAUGAAUGGUUUGCUGAUGAAAGUAGAGUCCGGAAAGCUGUUGGCUUAUUGGAAGAACCACUUGUUCGAUAUCCCAAUGCUAAAGAAGUAAGCUUUCGUUCAUUUCAGAAAGUAAUUUGAGUUUUGCUGAACCAGUGGUUCAUUUUGUGGCUCUAAUAUAAUUUGUCUACAUGGUUGAAAAUAAUGAGUUUCUGGAAUUCUUUUGUCUAAAUUUUGGAGUUUGGAGCCGAUUUUUAUAUCUUGUUUUCUUUUUUGGAUUCUUGUCUCCUUGAGUUAGUAAUGGAACUCUUGAAAUGUUCUGUUGACAGCUGACUUGUGGGAUCUGUUUUGAAACCUAUCCUCGUGAUAUGAUACAAUCAGCUGCUUGUGGUCAUCCAUUUUGUAGCACAUGCUGGGAAGGUUUGCGAAUAUACUCUAUACUUUAGAAUCUUAUUUUGUGGCUGGUAUAUAAAUUAAGUAUCCUGUUCUGAUUGUUUAUAUGUACCACUUCAUUUAGUGAUUUUUAAACUGCUGGUUGUGGGUGUGUUGGACAUUUCAUUUGGGAUAAAUUUCUUGUUCUGAUUGUUUGUAUGUACAACUUCAUAUAUAUUAACAUAUGUUUUUGAUCUACAGUAAAAAUUUGUGCUAUGUAUUUAGAAAUACACUAAAUAGGUGUGUAUUGUUAGUACAUGGGAACUAUAAAAGAGAGACUUAAGAGAAACAAGAACAAAAACCAACAUUGAGUCUUCACCAAAUCUUCCUUCUUUGCUUCCUCGACAGUCACAAUAUUCUGAAGAAUAUAAUUUUUCUUAGCUUCCUAUCUGUCUCUGAAUUUGAAUCCAUUCUUCUCUUGAUGCACCCCAUAUCUUGUUGUCUCCACCUGCAUUCUCAAAUUGUUUUAUGGAUUUGCCUUUGAAACCUCCUAGGAAACCCACAGCAGCUUACAAAGGUCCAUCUCUGCUUUUAACCCAUUUAGAGACUCUCCUGAUCCAACUCAACAGCACUUCUGGAGUUCUCAUGAGCCAUUCAUCAUCCAUGGCAACCUGAAGAGGAUCCUUCCAAAAAUGAAUUUCACCCCUCAGCAAAUCCUUGAAGAGUAGCUCUCAAGGGACGCUCAUCAUCCAUGACAACCUGAAUAGAUCAAAUCCUUGUUUUACCUAAUCCAUCCAUUGCACAGCUUCCUGUUUUGCUGUGAAUUGUCUUUUCACCAUUCCCAUAAUACCUUAAAGGGCUACACAGCAAGACUCAAAUUCAAUAUACAAAGCGGUGCCAUGCCAACCCUUCCCUUCCUUCCUCCACCUGAAAUUUCUCUCCUCAAGCCCUGUAAAUUCAAAAUUUACAGCUUGAUGUGGACCCCACUGAAACAGAAUGCCUCUCCUCAUUGUUGUUUGAUAAGUAAUCAAAAUUUUUCCUACUACUAUGGCACAUUAUCAUUCUAGUAGUAUUUGCCUUGCACAACCAGUAUCUCAUGCAUGCAUGUGUCCCAGAAACUUGUCUCUAGUAGAUAAUGACUUACUAAGAUAUUUUAAAGGGACAACCCUGGUAUUAUAAAAGUCUCAUUAAACCACAAUUUUCUGUAUGAGCUUUAAAAGACAAUUUUCUGCAUGAGCUUUAAAAAAAAAAAAAAAAUGCUUCUACAAGAAGCAACAUUCUUUUGCUUCCAUGUUAAGCUUGUUUUGAAGUCAAAGGCAGUUCAAUUAAAAUUACCAAAGGUCCCAAACAAAGGAACUCACUUUUGUUGGGCUUGAUAAAGAGCUUUUGGCUUCUAAGAAGCCAACCCAAAUGUGUUAAUGUCUUGUCUUAUAUUUUCAUCUGUUUUUAUUUGUUUAGGUUAUAUUAGCACAUCAAUCAAUGAUGGUCCUGGUUGUUUGAUGUUAAGAUGCCCUGAUCCAUCUUGCCGAGCUGCUGUGGGCCAAGACAUGAUCAAUCUCUUGGCAUCUGAUGAAGACAACGAGAAGUAUUCUCGUUACCUUCUUAGAUCAUAUAUCGAAGACAAUAGGAAGGUAUAUCUGAGACUUGGAACUCUUCCAAUUUUAACAUUUAGCAUAUGCAAUGGCUCAUCAAUCUCAAUCUUUAUUUUUACUUUUUUUCCCCUUAAAGUUUUCUAUGAAAAUUCACUGUUGCUUGACUAUCUAACUGUUUAUUUUUAUUUUAGAGUAUUUUCCAGGCAUAAGCCAGUAGACUUACCCUUUCAAUGUUCAAAUUUCAAAUAGUAAUUUGUUCAGGUUCUGAGCAUGUGAUUGAUUAAGGCUUAUGAGUUGCAUACGUUUUGCACCACCAAAGCAUGCCAUUUUUCUCUUCUACUGAUGGGUGCUUGUAAACUUUUAGAGGACAUCUUUUAUGAGUGAUUUGUAAUUUUGUAUGGACUACUUAGAGUUUAGUAUUAUUAUUUUCUGCCAUAGAGUGGGUCUCUUCAAUUGUCUGCAUUUAUCAAGAUAUUAAACUUGACCUGGGCUUAUACCCCAAUUCUUCUUCUUCAAUUUUUGUGCCCCUUUACUCUCGAGGUUGAUGUUUUUUGCAUCAUUUUAAAUGCAUUUUUCACCUGUUUCUAGCAUUAUAGGGAUGAACAUUUGGAGGGGAGAAAUGAAAAUAUAUUAUUUUGUUCACUGCUUUGCUAUUUCUCAUUUCUUUUAUUAUUUCUGUUCUUCCCUAGACCAAAUGGUGUCCUGCCCCAGGUUGUGAGUAUGCUGUGGAGUUCGUUGCUGGUAGUGGGAGCUAUGAUGUAGCCUGCCAGUGCUCAUACGGAUUUUGUUGGAAUGUAUGUUUGUUUUGAAAUUGAAGUUGUUUGAAAAUUUCGUAUGUACAAUUUCUAAUUUUUGUUGUAUGCCAUAUCCACAAUCUUGUCUUUUUAAUCAUGUUUUGAAUCUCUACUGCAGUGUACAGAGGAAGCUCAUCGUCCAGUGGACUGUAGCACUGUGGCCAAGUGGAUUUUGAAGAACAGCGCUGAAUCUGAAAACAUGAAUUGGUUAAGCACAUGUUGCAGCAUUUAAAGUCAUUCAUGCUUGUGGAUAUUCUUUCAUGACUUCUAUUUGUGGAUAUUCAUUAUUUCUAUUCUGUUAAUGCAUAUAGUCAUCCUGCCAAUUCUCUGUUGAAUUCUAAUUAGAAUAUCCUAUUAGCCAUGGUUUAUAAGUGUUGAUAUUUACAAAGUCAAUUUCUGCUCUAUUUUAUUUUAUUUUUGUGCAUGUUGUGGGGAAGCAGUGGGGAUUUAUUACAUCUAUUGGGUUAUGAUUUUUUAUUGCCUGAUGGGAAGCCCUCCUAUUUGAAUGUUCGAAUUUUUUGUGAGGCAUAUGAGGGCUAGAUGACUUUUUUAUGCUAGUUGUUUAUGCGGUUUGAGGCUAUCUCAGGGUUGAGAGUUAACAUGUAUAAAAGUGAGUUGGUCCCAGUGGGAAGUGUGGAGGAUUUGGCUUUAGAGCUUGGUUGUAAGGUGGCAAGAUUACCUUCCACUUAUUUGGGGAUGUCGUUGGGUACUCCUUCAAGUCUGUGGCAGCUUGGGAUGGAGUUGAGGAGAGAUUUUGUAAGAGAUUGGCUACGUGGAAGCAGACUUUAUAUCACUAAGGGUGGGCAAAUCACCUUGAUACGAAGCACCUUGUCCAACCUAUCUAUUUAUUUUAUGUCUAUUCUCCACUUGUUAAGGGUGGUUAGAUUGAGGUUGGAGCAGAUUUAGAGGGAUUUUCUGUGGAGAGGUGGGGCUCUAGAGCGAAAACCUCAUUUAGUAAGGUGGGGCGAUAGUUUGUCUUGAUAAGAGAAAAAGGGGUUUGGGGGUUAAGAGCCUUUCUACGCUCAACAAGGCUCUCCUUUGCAAAUGGAGGUGGCGCUUUGCGAAUGAGAGAGAGGCCUUUUGGAAUCAAGUAAUAAAGGGAAAGUAUGGGGAGGAACAAGGUGGAUGUUGUUCUCGCAAUGUAAGAGAGAGGUAUGGUGUAGGGUAGUGGAAAGCAAUUAGGAAGGUUAGACCUGUCAUUAGCAGUAGGCUUUCCUUUGUGGUGGGUAAUGGACGGAUGGUGAGUUUUUGGAAGGAUAAGUGGUGUGGGACUACACCUUUGUGUGAUUCUUUCCCCUCUUUAUUUACCUUAACUACUUCUAAAGAGGCUUGGGUGAAAGAUGUUUAGACCAUUUCAAAAGUUGGGGGAGUUGGAGUCCUCGCUUCUCUAGGCCUUUCAAUGAUUGGGAGUUGGAUGAAGUAGAGAGCCUUUUGUUAUGCCUGUGUGGGAAGAGAGUGAAUUUGGAUGAGGAGGAUAGGGUGCGGUGGAUGGAAAUGAAGAAUGACAAUUUUUUGGUAAAGUCUCUUUGCAAAGCCUGAGAGUCGGACUUAUCAGUUUAUUUCCCAAUGAAGAUCAUUUGGAACUCUUUAUGUGCAAUCAAAAGUAAACUUCUUUGCUUGGGAGACAUCAUGGGGUAAAACUUUAACUUUGGACCAAAUUUAGAAGAGGGGAUGGGCUCUAGCAAAUAGAUGUUAUUUUUGUCAGUGAAUGAGGAAUCCAUAGACCGUGUACUCCAUUGUGAAAAGACAAGGGCUUUGUAGAAGAUGUUUUUCACUCUUUUUGGAGUGUCUUAGGUGUUUCCUUCCUCGGUUAGGGAAAUCCUCUUGGGAUGGAAUGAGUCUUUUAUGGGUAAAAAGCACAAGACAAUUUGGAGAGCGGGCCCUUUAUGCAUUUUUUGGACAAUUUGAAAGACAAAGAAUAGAAUCGCCUUUGAAGAUGAUGUGCUGUCCAUCCAAAGGCUGAAAGCUUCUUUUGUUUACUUGCUUUAGUCGUAGACUAAAAUGUUUAUAAAAAAUGAUCCUUUGACGUUAAUUGAUUGGGUGGGUUCCCGUUGAGGGCGGGGUUGUUUUUUGUACAUCCUUUUGGACAGUCUUUAGUUUCAACUGUAAGGGGGUGAGUGUUUUUUUCCUGUACAUCUUGGGCUGCUAUUUUAGCGCCUCUUCGUAAUACAAUACUUUUUUUUACUUAUCAAAAAAUGUUUUGAGUUUUUUCCCUACAUAAUGUUUUACUUUGGUUCCUUGUUUGUGUAGCAGAAUGGAGUUUGGCACUAAUUCCCAUUGCUAGGUUAUGUAUGAAGAAAUCACCUUAGUGAAAAUUUGAAAGGUCUAGAAUUUGGUUAAAUUUUAAUUUUCUUCUUGGUAACAAUGAUUGAAUUGUCUGCUAGGACCAACAGGAGGUUGGGUGGGAUUGUGGGAGGCACCAGGUUCGAGAGGACUACCAUGCAGUAAGAAUUGUGGCUUGCCUUUGGAAAUUAAUGCCUUUGGAAAUGUGAUCCCUAACUUGAUUUAAGGAAACCAAAGAUUUUUUUUUCCUUUAUGCAUGUGAAUAUUAUUCUGGAACAAGUGAUUGUUUGCUAUUAUGAUGCUCUUUUUAAGGUGGUGGCAGGUGGGAGGAGCAUUAUGACACAUUAUUGCCUUUUAAAUCUUACCAACAUGGCAUUUCUGGUUCUUAAUAGGGACGUUCUUUGGGACCUCAAUACUCUAUGGAUCCUGAGCUGGCCUGUUGGAAAAAAUGUGCAUAAUACAUGAAAAAUAAGAUGCAUGCUUACUGGGCCUAAGAGUAUAUGUUAAUGAUUGUCCUUUGUUCUUCUGCAUCACUAUUCUUCUUUCCGUGUUUAUAGUCAACUGAAAAUGCCAUCAGCAGUUCAAAUUGUUAAAUUAUUAUUUUUUUUUCUUAUACCCAUCUUUUUAGAUCAGGUUUUUUCCUUUUUCUUUCUUCUUCUUCUUCUUCUUCUUUUUUUUUUUCCUAAUGCUUUGCAAACUGCUUUGUUUAUUGCACUUCUUUAAUAAAUUAUGAUAAAACAUAUUUAAUCCCACUCUCAAGAUGCAAAUAACCUUUCGUUUCUUUAUCCUGUUUAUAUUCAUUAGUUGUGUUAAUAUAUAGUGAAUUCUUUUAUAGUGUAUAAGAAUGCUUUACAUUUUUUUUUUUCAUGCAAUUCUGAUUGUGUAUACUACAAAUGAUGAUGCCCAGGAUACUAGCUAAUUCGAAGCCUUGUCCGAAGUGUAAGCGUCCAAUUGAAAAAAACCAAGGGUGUAUGCAUAUUACAUGCACACCACCCUGCAAAUUUGAAUUUUGCUGGUAAGUUUUGUUACUUAUAUCUGAACCAGAAAUUACCUGUACCUUCAUAAUUCUUGCUCUUAAUUCCAUGAUGAGUAUCUUUUAUAAGCAUUGUUAUCAAGAAAAUUGUAUUUUUUCAGAAAACCUUGAGCAGAAGAUGAUAUUUGUUGCACUAAGCAAUAAUAGUUCUUCUUUCUUCUUAAUUCUUUAUUGAGGCAUUUCUCUUUAUUUUUGUUAUUACAACUGCAGGCUAUGCCUUGGUGCAUGGUCAGAUCAUGGUGAGAGGACGGGUGGCUUUUACGCAUGUAAUCGAUAUGAAGCAGCAAAGCAAGAGGGAGUGGUAAUGAAACUCAAAAAUAUUUUUGGGCUCUUGAAACAAUAUUUUGCUUACUAUAGAACCUUUUGUGCUAUCAUCUUGGUUCUACGUUUGCUUUUUGUUGAAAAUCAACUUAGAAAAAGCACUUCAUUGCAGACCAGUAUGUGUGUUGGCCAUCUCAAUGGGCAUGCAUCUUCAGCUGAGUAUAGGAUUGUAGACUGGACUUUGUCUUAUCUAGAUUUCCUUGUAGGGGGGAGCCCUGGAGUGAUCCAGUUUUAGAUUAGUAUCUCCAGGUGCUUGGGUGGUUGGAAGGUUUCUUCAUCCCUUGUGGGUAGAGUCACCCUCAUUAAGUCCUGCUUAGCUCAUAUCCUAACUUGCAAUUUCUUUUUUAAUCUUUAAGAUCCAUGUUAAGGGUGCACUAGAAUCAAGCAUGCGAUGUGAUAUUCUUUGGUUGAAUGUGAAAGGAGAAAGAAUGAUCACCUAAUAGCACAGAACAUAUUUUCAAAUCAAGAGUGAAGGGGGGAACUGUGUAUCAUCUCUCUAUUAGCAAUGUAGCUUUUCUAGGUAAGUGAUUAAUGAAGUUCCUUGAGAGAGUGGCUUCUUGUGGCAUUUGUUAUUGAAAAAUCUAUAGCCUUAGUUUUGAGGGAUGAAAAGCUCAACUUGGUGAUCAGGUGGCAACACUCUGAUAGGGAACUAAGCUUUUUUUGAUGGCUGUGCACUGAAAGGAACCAGUGCAGAUAGGGGUUGACAGUGUCUUGAGAGAUCAUUGUGGUACUGUUGUCGGAGCUUUUUCCAAAACGGGUAGUUCAGGGUUAGCCAUUGGCACUGAAAUUUUAGCUUAGAAGGGCCGAUGGUGUGACUAUUUUAGGCACUAAAAAUCUGCUAGUAGAAGGGAAAAUCAGUUACUGUCCUCUUAUGGGUUUCUGAGGACAUGUGAAGUCCUUGAAGGCUGGGCAAUUAGUGUCAAAAGUUGCGAUUUAUUUUUUAUUUUUUUCUGGGGCUCCUAGAUUCUAGAAUGGCCAACUAGGUAGCAGACCAACUAGUGAAGUAUGGAGCCUCAUGUUUAGAGAUCUUUGUUUGGGGGUGUAUACCUCCCUGAGCUGCAUUCUAUUCUAAAGUCUUUGGUUGGGAUCUUUAUGGGUUUCAGCUUAGAUGUAAUUCUUUUGCUUACUACUGCACUCUUUUUUUCUUUUGACUUAAAGAUAGCGCAUUCCUCUUGUAUUCAUUAUCUUUAUCAAUGAAUUUCUGUUUUGUCUCAGAAAAUUAACGAGAUUUUUAACUUCUGCCUGUAGUAUGAUGAAACUGAGAGAAGACGGGAGAUGGCGAAAAAUUCUUUAGAACGAUACACUCAUUAUUAUGAACGGUGGGCGACCAACCAAUCGGUAUGUACUAGCUUUUUAUUGUCUGUUUCUUUGCUAUAAUAUCACAACUUGGGUUCUAGGUUUUUUUCCUGUAUUUUUUGGGAACUAGCUUGGGUUUUGCAAAUUAAUAUUGUUUAGAAUUAUGAUGAUUCCAUUGGAGGUUAAAUCCUCUCUUGGGGAUUCAUAUUGACAUGUACACAUCCAUUAAUUUGAAUGUGGUUAAAUGUUAUAUCUGAAUGUAAUCUGAAAUCUUUGUUUUCCUAUUUGGCAGUCAAGGCAAAAAGCUCUUGCAGAUUUACAUCAAAUGCAAAACGUGAAUGUAAGUUUAAUGGCUUUUCUAUAUUUUCCCUUCUUGUCUUUAUGGUAUAAGUGGCCCGCCCAUCAAAUGUACAUAACAUCUAUUGUGUUCUAUCAGCUUCACAUUUUCCUUGUUUUAUUAAGGAAUUUCUUGAAAGUUGAAACUUCAUGUACACUGAACUAAUUUUUAACCAAGCAUGCCAUAUGUGGGAUUUCUUUUGUAAUUUAUAUUUUAAACUUGGAAGUGAUUGAAAUCUCUUAAGAUUACAAAAAUAAGUCUACUUCAUUGAUGAAUAAUGCCUACCAACUCUCUAUCGAGAUUACAAAAAAUAAAUCUACCUCAUCAGUUUAUAGCAGUCUUUUGACAAAAGAUUUUUUAAACAUUCAGUUGGUAAUUUGAUCACCAUUGUUUAAGCACUGCUGCCUCAGAAAAAGGUUCUUUUCAAAAUGCUAACUGUACUGCUGUAAUCUUGAAAUUUUCUGAGAAGAAAGCAAUUGGGAAUCUGGGUGAUAAUGUUGUUUGAGGACACCCUUCUCUGGUUAACGUUAAUUAUGGACAUGUUCCAAUGGAUACAAACUGUCUAGAGAUUCACUCUUGAUAACUCUGCACACAAGCGCAUGCACACACACAAAUAUGUGUAUGUAUAUACGUGAUAGGUUAUAAUUCAGAUAUAUUGUUUUACAGCAAAACUGUCCAUGUACAGUAAAUUUUUGGUUUUGGAAGAUUUUAUGUGCCAUAAACAUGGGUUUUAUUCCUCUGGCCACCUCGGGAUUUUUUCAGUAAUAUUUUUAUUUGCAUAAUUUCUUUAAUUUGUUUGAUUUUGCAGAUUGAGAAGCUCAGUGACAAACAGUGCCAACCUGAAUCACAGCUCAAGUUCAUAACAGAGGCCUGGCUACAGGUGAAUAUAAAGUUCCUUCGUAUGCAUAUUUAGCAUUUUGUUAAUUAGCAUUAUUGGUCUCUCUUCUGUAAAAAGAAAAGAUGAAUAAACCUUUAUACAUCAAAGCCUUUGAAACUGAAAUUGGCAUGUAUUAUUGAUUAUAGCUUAUGAUACUAUUGUCCAUAUGCAGAUUUUUUUAUUUUCUGGCAAUCUUUAAAGGGGAAAAAAGGAAAUCAAAAUUUGAAAUCUCUCUCUUAAAAAUAUUAAUACAUUGAAUAUAAGGUGAUUUAAGAUUAAGGUAAAGCAUUUAAAAAAUACUCUUUACCCUUGUUUACAGUCCUUGUAAAGGAGCUUCUUUUGUUGAUGCUAUGACUAAUGCCAUUUUGUUCAAUCAAAGGACCUUUCCUAUGAAUCACCAAAUCUCAUUAUGUUAUCUUCUCCUCCCCUUUCCCUUUUUCCAUUUUUUGGGUGCCUGUUGAACAUCCAAGGGGAACUGAUAUAUUGUUCUAUCCAUAAUUCAAACAAGUAUGUUUUUGCUUUUUCAUUUUUUUCUUUUUCCAUCCAUAAUUCAUCAUUCAUAUAGGUAUCUGCAAUUAUUGGUUUGUUUAUGGGUGCAUUGGUUGGGGAUUAGGUGGACCUUUCAGAUUAUUGGUAGUCAGAAGUAAUUGAGACUUAGUAGUAAACCGAAGUAACUGAAACUUAGUAGUGGUGGAGCUAAAAGUUCAAUAAUUUUUUUUUAAUCAAUUUUAUUACAAUUAAUUGCCAUACUUGUUAGAUAUAUUUGAUCUAACCUCUUAAUAUUUGCUGUUUGGAUUGUGCUUGGGGGUAGGGGAAUGGGCUAUUUCCAAUUUUUGGAUCCAUUUUAGACUAAAAGAGAAUAGUAAUGUAAUGAUGAUGAUUGUAUUUGAAUUUGUUGUUUGAGCAUGAAAUGCUAACAUUAUCACACUUUGUGAUCCUUUGUAUUUUUAGAUAGUUGAAUGCAGACGGGUGCUGAAAUGGACAUAUGCAUAUGGUUACUACUUACCCGAGCAUGAGCUUCCCAGGAGACAAUUUUUUGAGUACUUGCAAGGUAUGUAAUGCCCUUCAACCGCCCUACAAGGGAUAAAAUCAAGAAUUGCCUUUGUGAUUGAUUUGGAUUAAUCUAAGAGUGAUGCUUAUUUCUUAUGCAGGUGAGGCGGAGUCGGGUUUGGAAAGGCUUCAUCAAUGUGCAGAGAAGGAAUUACAAACAUACCUCAAUGUUGAUGGUCCAUCAGCAGAUUUCAAUGACUUCCGCACAAAGCUAGCUGGACUGACAAGGUAAUUCCUGCCUAGAAUUCUUAUGGAACUUAUGGAUAUCCGUGUUUUAUAUUUUCUGAUGCAAGGCAUGCUCCCUUUUUAACCACCUAGGGGAAAGUUGUAUUUUUCAUUGAAACUACUCUGUUAAAACCGUAUACCUCCUGUUCCCUGGAUAUAUUUUUUCUGGAGCAGGACAUUCUUCCAUAUCUCAGACUAAUCAGGUUAUGAUAAUCUUUUUGGAUUCAUUUGUAUUCCACUUUGUUAUAUGAUUUUCUUGCCCAUUUUCUGUUGUAACAGUGUAACACGGAAUUACUUCGAGAACCUGGUCAGAGCAUUGGAGAAUGGGCUGUCAGAUGUAGACUCUUAUGGGGCUUGUAGCAGGACGACAAGUUCAAAGAGCAUGGGAGGCACCAGUAAGGCUAGAGGUGGAAGGGGAAAGGGAACUACAUCCCGAUCCAGUAGCUCCAACAAAACCCCAGACGAUUCAAGUCGAUGGUAUUGUGAACACUGUGCUACUGCUAAUGCCAAGUCUGCCUACACAUGCCAGAUGUGCCACCAGCGACGGGCCUAAUCCUCCUUGCACCUGCUUAGAGUACCCUUUCAAAGCGCGCUCAAGAAAAAUGAAGGGGAUUUUCACUAGACAUUAAGGACAUAAACAAAUUCGGUGGUUCAUCCUCGUUCUGAGGCGGACAAACAGUGAAAGUGAAGUAGGAAUGGAAGAAAAGAAGUCGAGGAAACGGAGUGAGUUUACCGUCUUUUGUGUGUUCAACAGUGGCAUUUGAACAUGAUUUUCAUGUACAUAGUUUCUAUAUAUCUAUCUAUUUAUCCUUCUGUGAAUCUACUUGUUGAGGUUCUAAAACUUGCUUCUGCUCCAUCAUGUUGUAUUACGGACAUAGCCAGAGGCAAAAAGUGCAAAUAUACUCAUUUGUGUCUUUUUGAUUUCUCUUUUAAAAAAUUGAUUUUGUGCUGCUUCCCUCAAUGCUGUGUAAAGAACCAUCCCCACCCUCUUCUCGAACCCCUACCAUCAAAAUCAUAUCUAUAGAAAAUAGCAAUAUGCAUUUCUUUUCAGAGCUUUACACUGUUACAAUACUUUUUAUUGAAGCUAUAAAUAUAACAUGCUGAAGCUCUUCUUGCUUUGUUGAUGCUGGUUACAGUAAAUGCUAAUCUAUGCGAGGAAUCUGCCCAUGGCAUUGUGGCCGUGAGAGCUUCCUUCUAUUUCCUAUUUCUUGCAGUUCCGUUGUGUUAUACCUAGUUGUGGUUGCCCUUUCUUGAGCAGCUACAUCUGCAAAAGGCAUAAGCUGCUAUCAGUAAAGCUCCCUUUUGUUUGUUCAACAUGUCAUGUGCUUGGAAUGGUUGGGUAGGUGUAAUAUGUGGUUGUAUGACAUGUCUCCGGCUCAAAAGAGUGUGCAGAGAGCAUUGAGGUGUGCUGAAAGCACUUGUCAUUCUUGUAUGAUGUAGGCUCUGUUAAAGCAUUUUUUUUCUUCAGCUCAAAGUUGAAAAAUGUCUUUCCUUGUAGAAGCUCUAGUUGAGGUAUACAAGGUGGCUGUUUUUAUGCUUAAUCAUUUUUGUCAAUGCCAAUCUUACUCUUAGGAAUUAUGACUUUAAUCAUAUUCCACCGAGUAGGAAAUAUAUAUAUAUGCUACGAAUAUGAUAUUUUAAGAUAACAUAUCUGAAUAUGUUAUAUUAUAUUAUAUUUAUAUUUAAUUUACAAAAUGAAUAAAAAAAUAAUAUAAAAUAUAUAUUAUUUUCAAUAGUUAAAAUAAAAAUGAUAUUAUAUUUAAAAAAUUAAAAUUUCUUUUAUAUUUAACAAUAUCAUGAUUAAAAUUUUUAAACUUUAUAAAUGAUUUUUUAUAUUAUUUUAUUCAAUAUAUAAAAAUGAUUUAUAUAUCAUAUAGAUAUAUUAUUUAAUAAAUAUUUUUUUAGUUUUUUUUAAACUGUAAAUUUAAUUUAUAAUAAAAAAAUUUAUUUUCCAAAAUGAGUAUAUAAAAAAAAUUGAUAAAAAAAAUUAAAUUUAUGAUAAAUGGGAUAUGCAUAUGAAUCUCAUUCCCCAUGUAAAAAAGAUUAAAAAAAAAAACUAGAUAAUAUAUCUCAUCCCUUGUUGUAUCCCUUAUUUGGUUGUCUUCAACCAAACAUGAGAUAACCUUUCUCUUAUCUUAUCUCAAAUAUGAUCAAAAUUUAUUACAAAAUAUGAAAGAGAAUCCUUUCAUUGCCAAAUUUCCCACAAAGAAAACACUUGAUGAAAGCCCUAUAGCCUAUAUCCAUCAUUUGAAUCAUGCAUAUUGACAUUCAAAAUGGAGAACAAUGGACAAAGUCUAGGACAUAGUAUAUAAUAUAUAGCUGCAAUUUAAGAUGCAAAAAAUAAAACAUCUUCAUUCAUCAACCAAAUGAUAUGAUUAUGGGUGAUGAUUCCACCAACAUUGAACUCAAAUCCAUACAUGAGUUUCACUCUAAAAUUAAAAAACUCAGACCUUAAAGAUGAACUCCUCCCAUCAUGAAUUUCAACUUUCCAAACUCCUCUCUAGUGUGUGUGUGUAACAGGAAGCCAAAACUGUAGACAACUCAAACGCUUAUAGACAUAUUAUUUUUCUUUUGUACACAAUAGAUGCUUUUAUCUUCCAUACUUGUUUCUCAAGAGUGUAAAUAGGAUUACUUAACUCUUGCUUCCAGAUUACCUCUAAACAAACACUUGAUUUUGCAGUCGCAUAGAUCUGUUUUUCAGCAGCAUAGAUCUGUUUUCCAGCUGCAUAGAUUUGUUUUGCAGUGGCAUAGAUUUGUCUUUGAAGAUUCUCAUGCUAAGGGCAUUUAGCAUUGCUCUUGAGUACUGGCGCGACGACAUCUUCCAGUCCAUGCCCGUCUUCAUCAUCGCCUUGAACUCAUCAUAACUGAUCCGACCAUCCUAUAAAUUCCAAAAAUAAAAAAUAAAAAUGAGUGAUGCUUUGAUGCUGCAGGAAUGUUGCCAAUGGAGCUAGAAUUAAUCAUGUGUUAAUUUCUGAGGACUAGUUUCUAGUUACCUUGUCCAAAUCAACGUCGAAAAUGAUGUCUUGGAUCACCUGCUCAUUGUUGGGGCCAAGGUUAUCCUCUCUUAAGGCCUCUCUGAGCUCUUCAAACUCAAUGUACCCACUGUCGUUCUUGUCGAAAGCCCUAAAAGCUUCGCUCAGAUUUUCAUCGCUGCUGAUCUUUCUCAGGUGCACAGAAAUUGUUACAAACUCAUCACAGUUCAGUGUCCCGGUUCCAUCCAUAUCAGCCUUUUUGGACAGCAGCAGAGAGUUAGAUAACUAUGACAGUAAAGCUUAAUAGGAAGAAACAAGAUGGCUACAAUAUAUAACAAUCUGAAAAACUAGCGAAACCCCCCCAAAAAAAAAAAAACAACUCACAGCUUCAAUCAACAUCUUCACAUCAGGGUCGGCAACUGGAUGUCCAAUCUUGUGGAGUCCGUCUUUGAGCUCUUCAAAGCUCAAGUUUCCAUUUUUGUCAGUGUCCAUCAUGUGGAAUAUCUGUCUGAUUCCAUCUCGCUGCUCAUUUGGUAGGUUGUCUGCUACCACCUACAACAAAUGAAUGUAAAUCACUCAAUGAUUCUUGGGCUAGUUGGCUUCAGCAUUCAAGAUACAAUCAAGACAUGAGGAAACUUACUCUGAGAACCCUCUUCUUGAACUUGUUCAUCAAUGAGAAUUGCUUGAUCCUCGUCCUCACAUUUUCUCCAAGGGACACAUUAGGGAUGCUGGUGGCAUUUUUGAUCCAUGGAUGGGCUUCAUACAGCAAGAAAGAGAACAGUUGGUUGAUUUUUCGCUUUGGCAUGUUCAUAUGCUUGAUGAAAAUAUUGAUUAUAAUUCAAGAAUGCAAAGAAAACAGACCAAGGACUUCUUCAACAGUCAAGCGGUUAUAAGGGUUGGGAUCAAGCAUACUCCUCACUAGGUCCUUGGCAUCCUCAGAAACAUGAGGCCAAGGAUCCCUCUCAAAGUCUACAACAGACUUCACAAUUGCCUGUGCAAUCCCUUCUUCGGUUUCUGUACAACUCAAGGAAAAGAAUGCUUGUAUUAUAAACCAUUCCCACAAAUUUUCACGUUAAAUUGAAGACCUUUACCUGCCCAGAAGGGAGGAACUCCACAGAGUAGGAUAUAAAGAAUAACGCCUGCGCUCCAAACAUCGACUUCUGGUCCAUAGUGUCGUCUCAGGACUUCUGGGGCCAUGUAGUAGGGGCUUCCAACAAUUUCAUUGAACCGCUGGCCUAUCCUCAAAUCACAAAGUAGCAGAGUUCAGUUACAUGGAUGAAUAUAUACCCUACAUAUGAAAGGAAGAAAUUGGAAAUUAUGAAGCAUACCCGGCUUAAAGAAUAUGGAUAGCCCAAAAUCAAUUGCCUUCAAUGGUGAAGCUUCACUUGCAUCUGCAAACAAGAAAUUCUCGGGCUUUAGGUCUCGAUGCAUCACUCCAUGUUGAUGGCAUAUCUGCAAAAAUUUCCCCACAAAAAUCAACACUCUGAUACAAUUAAUUCAUCUGAAAGAAGAAAUAAACAAAUUUUCUGUCCUCGCUUACCUGAAGGAUCUCGACAAUACUUCUGGUGACAUCUGCGGCGGCCCGCUCUGUGUAGUGGCCGCGGGCGACAAUCCUAUCGAAGAGCUCGCCUCCCUCGCAGAGUUCCAUGACCAAAUGUACAUUAUCCUUGUCCUCAUACGCCUCCUUCAACCUUACGAUAUUCGGGUGCUUGGGCAAAUGCUUCAUAAUCUCCACCUCCCUCCUCACAUCCUGAAUAUCGAUCUCGGUCGUCAGCUUGCUCUUCGAAAUCGUCUUGCAGGCGAAGAUUUCCCCGGUCUCCAGGUCGAAACACUGGUGGGUUACCCCAAACUCCCCCCGCCCCAGCUCCUUCCCCAGCCUGUACGUCUUGUAAAUGUCCUUGCCGCUCGGCUCCUUCAACACCGAUAUCGGCCGGAUCGUCACCGAUUUCCGAAACACGUCGUCGCCGGAUUCAGGGAUGAUCUUUUUGGCCUUGGCUUUCUUCUUCUGGCCUGCCUUAGCAGGCAUGGAAAUGCAGCCUCCCAUGGGAUUAUUAGCUCAAAGUUAGAAUCCCAUGGGAAGGGAGAGGAUAGAUUUUUAGGGGGAGAGAGGAGGUGGAUGAAGAAAUAACAGAAAGGAAGUUUCAGGUUUUUGAAAAGUAGUUAAUCCGUUAUAUGUAAGGGUCCCGCCUUUUUCUAAGGGCCUUGGACGCCGUUCAUUUUUGACGGUUCGGGUUUGUCCAGGUGGCUUCGGACUUUGGCUUUUUGGGGCUGCCGUUAACCUUUCUGUCACACUUUCGUUGGAAAAUUGUUUGGUUCAACGGAAAAUAGUUUAGGAUGGAAAACCUAGUUACAAAUAAAAGUGAUGUUCAGUGUUUGAGUAUUAAUUAAAUAUCUUGAUAAAUAAUAUAAUAUAAAUUUAAUUAUUUAUGCUAUAAAUGUAUAACAUAAAAUAUAAUUAUUUAAUUAAAAUUAUUAUAUACUCGAUUUUGAUUUGGAUUAUAUAAUUUGAAUUUUUCUUGAAAAAAUAUAAAUGCAGUACAACCCACUUAUUUUAUUUUAUUUAAAAUAAAUAUAUUUUAUAAAUAAAUAAAUAUUAUAAAAUUUUAGACUUAUUUUAUCUGAGAAUGAGAUUGUUUUAGAGUUACCAAAUGAGGCAUUCCUUCAUCUAAAUUUAGUUCAAAUGGGUUUGCUGAAAUUUUUUAUAAAAAAGAAGUGAAUGUUCACAUGGGCUUUAUUUAAUUGGAAAGAGUUGAAGCAAGUUGUUAAGUUGUUAAUUAGUUUGGCAAUUAUCAAUUUUCAUUAGAGGUAACAUCCUUUAGUUAUAGUUGGUUCUCUAUGCUUCUAGAAUCUUCCGGUUGUUUCUCCACUCAAAUAUAAUAACUUAAGAAGAUCGAAAGUCUAGAACAAUUGUUGGAAACUCAUACAAAGAGAUACUAUGAAAUUGUUCCUCUAUUCAUUAUUAUUAUUAUUAUUAUUAUUUUUAAUAUGGUAUCAAAGCCAUUUGACUUGGCUCUAUGGCUUAAGUUGCAACAAUGACAACUAGUGUCUCCUCAUCGAGCACCUCCAAAACAAGCCGAGGACCUCCAAUGGCAACUCCCUCAUUGACAUUCUCAUCCAUACUUUCUCCACUAUCUUUGAAACUCACAAGGAACAACUAUGGAUUUUGGCACUUACAAAUUCUUCUUAUUGUGCAAGCUCUUGAUCUUGAAGGUUAUUUGCUUAGAACAAUAGUGUGUCCCCCUUGUUUCAUCCUGAACAGAAAUGAAAACUCUUUAAUAAUCAAUCUAUAAUUUGUGACCUAGGCCAUAAUAGACCAAUUCAUCUUGAGUGGGCUUUUUUUUUUUCUUCUUUCUAAGCUAAUGUUUGGUCGUAUUGUUCAAUGUAAAAUUGUUGUUGAAGUGUGACAUAUUUUUUUAUCAUUUGUUCUUCAUCAACUCCAAAUCUCGAGUACAACAUCUUCAAUAUACGUUUUUGUAAGAAGCUUUAAAGGGUUCUUUGAGUAUUACUAACUAUUUUCUACAAAUGUAGAUUGUUGAUAAUUUGUCUGCAAUUGGUAAGCCUAUCACUAAUGAGCAAUUGUUGAUGUGCAUCUUUGGUGGUUUAGUCAUGAAUUUGAUGAUGUAACGAUCCAUCUUCAAUCAAGAAAAGAUUUUGUCUCUAUUGAAGAAGCUCAAUUUCUUUUUCAAAAUUAUGAGAUGAGAAUUAAAAAACUCUUAACUCUAUUUCAAGAAUCAAUAAUCGACCCUUUGCUAACUUUGUUGCCAAGGCCACAAAAGAAAUAAGUACCAUUUCUCUAGAGCUCCUAACGGUAGUUCUUUUGUAGUGGUCAUAUUUAUAAUGACAAAAAUUUUAUGUAGCAUCUCUAAAUUCACCAAGGAUAACAAUAUAGUUGUCGAAUUAUAUGAUGAUUGUUGUCUUGUGAAGGACAAGAACAGGAGGAGGAUUUUGAUGUAGGGCAAGCUUGAAGGAGGGCUUUAUCAACUCGAUGUUCUAGUUUUCUCUACUUCUAGCUUCAAUUUUCCUUUAGUUUCUUUAGCACAUGUUAAAUCUAAUGAGUCUUGUACGAAGGUUAUGGACGCUUGGUCAUCCUUAUGACCAAGUGUUGAAUGAUGUACUCACGAUUUUACAUUUGUCUCUUAUAGCUAAGAAUCUUCAAUUCUGUGAAGCUAGUCAGUCGGAAAAACAGGCUAGAUGGUUUUAGAGCUAAGGACUUUGCUUCUAGAAUCUUCUAAUUGUAUUCAAGAAGAUCAAAAGCCCUAAUAAAUUGCUGGAAACUCCUAUGAAGAAACACUUUGAAAUUGUUUCUCUUAUUAAUUUUGUAUGCUUUAGAUCAAUGUCACAUGAAACUAUGGGGGCACACCCAUCUAAAAAAAGGCCCCUCUUUCCUCAGACCCCUUCUUGUAUUUCUUUUUCUUAAUCACCAAAAGGCCUUAUUCCCUACAAAUUUUCUUGCAAACCAAACAUCAGGGGGAAACUUCAACCUUUCUUUUCCUUACUUUCCCCCACCCUCCCUCAACAGAACACUUUAGUUUAAUUACAAAGCUCCGACAGUACUUCAAAGAUUGGAAAAAAUACACAAGGGAGAAACAGAAAAACUAAUCAAAAUUCCAUAGAUUUACCAAAUUCUCACUGGAUCUAGAAGAAAAAACAUACAAAGAUCGUCUCAUCUACAUACAAAACCUCUCACUUAUCCUUAAUUCAGACAUGAAACAUCCCUAGAACCCUUAUCCACAGCUGCUGCAGUCAACCUCUCAGCGACAAAGUGUGGGAAGCAACAAUCCACUCGGGUCAACCAGGAAACCCCAAUAUUCCUCCAUGAAGACUCCAACACCAGCAAAACAACAUACAGAAACACCACCACAGAGAUUGCAGUGGAGAGACAAAGCUGAUCUUCUGUCAAACUCAACAACAUCUUCACACAUAGAAAUGUUUGGGGUUGGGUUGUGAGGAGUGGAGACAGAGAUAAAAGGAAGCUAUAUGCAGAUGGGAAAGGAGUUGUUUCAACGAAUUUGGUAUGGUGGAUGAAUCAAAGGUGUUCAAUCAGUGAGUGUCAGAGGGGGGCGCAUGAAGACUUCUGAGUGAAGUCAUGAUGAGGGUGUGGGCACCAUUCAUUGAAUAUGAGUGCAUGUUGCUGUGGGUUAUCACCCUUUAUCAUAUUCUUUUGAUGGAAUCUCGCUCUAAGUUCAUGCAUCACUGUUAUGUUCCCUACAAUACAUGCACCUUCUUAGGGAGGUCAAAUUUUAGAAACAUUUGUCAUUAUCUUCUAGAAUGCAAUUUUACCUUAGAAUUUAAAUAUAAUUUUCUUUUAUUCAUUUUUUCAAUGAAAUUAUUAUAUAUUUAUAUGUAAUGUAAAUUUUUUUAAGGUAUUCUUUAUAUUUUCAAUUAUUAUUUAAAAUACUAUAUAAAAAAUAACUUAAAAUACCUAAAAAUUAUAUAUUUUAAAAAGCAGUUUGCUUUCAGAACAAUUUUUUUAAAGAAAAAUAUUUUUAUUAAAUAUAUUUACUAAGUUAUAAAACUAUUUUCAUAGUUUUGUACUCAUAUCCUUGUGAUUCAAAAUAAGGGAGAUGUUUAACGAAAUUUCAAAUCAAUAAGAAUUAAACGUAUUUAGUUAAAAUCUGAUAAAAAAUGGAAGAAAUUAGUCAUGUCUUUUGAAAUUUUUUAAUAAACUCAUCUUUCUAGAUAGUCAAAGUUUGAAAUAAGAAUAAACAAAACAUUUAAGUUAUAAAGAUUGAGAUUAAAUGCAUGAACAAAGGUUACAAUGACCAAGAGCUUUCAUUUAUUAUUUUUUUUCAAGGUGACACCUCUUAUACCAUGAAUGAUUUUAGAACUUUAGAAUUCUAUACAAAUAAGCUAGUCAUAAAUAAACAAAAACUAAAAUAAAAUAAAUGGAAUGAAAAUGCAAGAUUUAACAUGAUUUAAUUACAUGCUUACAUUGAGAAAAUCAAUUCACAAAGAACAAUUACAAUCCUAAAAAGCUCUCAAAUCCCAAGUCCCAAAUGAUAUAUUUUAUGAUAUAGAGAGAUAUUUGACUUUUAAUAUUUUAUUCCAUAAAUCGUUUAUAUAUUUUUAUUGAACUCGUCUUUUCCAAAAAAACAAGUUUACUUUUUAUGAAUUUAUUUUUUAUCUUAUAAAUUUUUAUACUGAAUAUCUUCUAAAAAGAUGAGUUAAGAAUGGUUUUACUUGAGACCAAGGAUCUAUUUGACAAUUGUUUUCUAUUCUAAAAAUAAAAUAUAUUUGACAACCAAAAAUUGUUCCUAUUUUUAAUUCUUAAAAACAGAAAAUGAAGUGUUUUCAAUUUUUAAGAACAAAAAGCAGAAUGUUUUCAAAUAACAUCUUUUAGUUAUUAUUUAUUUAUUUUUUUAUAACUAUUUAAAAAAAUAAUUAUACAAGCAUAUAAAAUGAUUAAAAAUAAAACAGUAGAUAUAAAAAUUAUUUUGAAAAUAUUUUAAGUUUCUAAACAGAAUUUUGUUUUAUAAAACAUUUUUUAAAAACCAUUUUUAAAAAAACAAUAACCAAAUAAUUUAAAAUUAAAAAUAUGGUUGAUGAAAGAUUCUUUAAAAAAUUACACUACCUUGAAAAAGGCCCAUUAAUGACUUUUAGUUAUUCAUUGAAUCCAUGCACAUGUUGGCUGUCAUCACUCUCAAUGAUUUUUUUUUUCAAUUAUAAAUUUUAACCUAAAUCCUCAACUAUUCAUGGCUGUUCCAUCACUACAAGUUCUACCACCAAAUUUUCACUGUCUUGUAAGUUGUAACUAGUCUAUCAUAAUGCUUGUCUUAACAUAUAGAUGAUGAUAUCAUGAAACUUUGGUAUUGUUUGGUCCACGAGAAAAUUAACAAAUUCUUGAUUCAAUUACAUCAAUCCAAUCAAAUCAUUAUUGUUACAUCCAAACUAAUAAUAUAUUUUAUGAGUAGUAUGAAAAAAAAAAAAAUGUUGGUUUUAGUUUUGUAAGUGAAUAUUUGUAUUUUUCAAUUAUUUUUAGGUGUUGGUGAAAUUCAUUUUAUAUAAUAUUUUUUUUACAUUAAAUUAAGAAGGUGAAAUUUUUUCCCUUUUUCUUUUAAAAAAUUAAAAUAAACAUUAAUAGUAAUUUUUAUAUAAAUAUAAGGAACUUUUAAUAACUAAAGCCUGCGUGAUAACUUUAUUUUUUUAAAUAGUUUUGAAAAAUAUUUUUAAGAACGAUUAUUAAAAAUUAUUUUAUGAUAUUUUGUAUAACAAAAGAUUGUUUGAGAGUUUGAAAUAUUUUUAAUCUAUUUUUAAAUAUAUUUUAAAAAUAACUUUUAUAUCUAAUGAUUUAUUUUUAUUCAUUUUAUAUGUUUGUAUAAUUAUCUUUUAAAAUAAAUUUUUAAAAAGAAAUAAAAAAAACUAAAAACAACUAAAAAUAUUUUUUAAGAACAAAAAUAAAAAACAGUUUUAUGGUUGCCAAAAGCGUUUUCUUCUUUGUUUGUUCUAAAUAACAUAAAAUUAUUCUUGAAAAUAAUUAUCAAAUAGACCCAAAUAUUCUUAAAAAUUGAUAUCAAAAUUUAAAAAAAUGAGUAGUUAUAUUUUUUUCAAAUUAUUUUCUUUAAAAAAAGUCUCUUCCAUUUGCAUAAAGAUUAUUAUUACUUAUUUACUUUGAAAAUAGAUACAAACUCCAUCAAAACUUUUUGAUCAAAUAUUAAAGUUUGUUUGGUAAUUAUUUUUUAAAACAGUUAUGAAAAAACAACUUUUAAGAAUAGUUUUUAAAAAUUGUUCUUUAACAUUUUGUAAAAUAAAAGUCUAUUUGGAAACCUAAAAUAUUUUUAACAUGUUUUUAAUAUUUUUAAAUAUGUUUUAAAAAUAAUUUUUAUGUUUAUUAUUUUAUUUUUAAUCAUUCAACACACUUAUAUAAUUAUUAUUUUUAAAACAAUCUUAAAAAAAAACAAAUGAAAAUAAUAAAAUAAAAAAAACAACGAAAAGAUGUUUUUUGAAAGCACCAUAUUUUUUGUUCUUAAAAACAAAAAACAAAAAAUAAUUCUUAAAAUUGUUCUAUUUUUUUUUUAUAUUUUAGAUAAUAGAAAAUUGUUUUCAAGAACUAUUACCCAACUGGUCGUUAUAUAUUGGAAAACGGGUACAUGGAAUGAAUUAUCGUUUUUAAGGUAAAAUGAUCAUCUUCUAUUUUUAUAAGAAUGAUUUUGGUCUGAGUGAGAUAGAAGUGAUAAUACUUGAAAUUAAUUAUUUUCUAUAAAUUUGAUGCUUCCAAAAUUUCAUAAAAGUCGUGCUUCUAAAAAUUUAAUUCUUUUAUACCAUUUCAUCUAAAAAAAAUAUAUAUACUUUUAUAUUCAAAUAUUGAAGAAAUAAAACACUCUUAUAAAAGUUCUACACAAAAAUUGUUACAGGUCAAAAAUAUUUUUAAUAAAAUUACCUUUAAACAACCUAUAGAUUGCAAAAUUUGUCUAAAUUUUAUUUUUAAAUUAAUUUUGAGCCUAAUUUUGUCAAUAAAUUUUAAAUUCUAAUUACAUAUGUUUUUUUUAGCCCAACGACCCUUUAAUCUUAAUUUUUAUUGUUUUGUAUUCUUUUUUUAUUUUAUUAUUAUUAUUAUUAUUAUUAUUAUGUUUUAUUUUAUUUUAUUUUUACUUUUUUUUCUUUUUCUCUCCUCUCUCUUCCUCCCAUAUUAUUAUGUUUUUUUUAUUUUAUUUUUUCCCCUCUUUAUUCUUCUACUAUUUCCUCUCCCCCAUUCCCCUCUUCCUUUUUUCUUUUUCUACUUCUCCUUGGACUCACGAUCGGCUCCCUUAUUUGGGUUUCUCAUUCUCUUCUUCUACUAUUUCCUCCCACCCAUUCCCCUCUUUCUUUUUUCUUUUUCUGCUUCUCCCUGGACUCACGAUCGGCUCCCUCAUUUGGGUUUCCCCAUUCUCUUCUUCUACUAUUUCCUCCCCCCCCCCCAUUUCCAAGAAUGGUCGGCCCCCCAUUCCCCUCUUCUUUUUUUCUUUUUCUGCUUCUCCCUGGACUCACGAUCGGCUCCCUCAUUUGGGUUUCCCCAUUCUCUUCUUCCUCUUCUCUCCCCCAACUCUCAUGUGGCCGACUCCUCCAUUUUCCCCAUUCUUCUUCAUUUUUUUUUCCCAACACCACUCCUCACACUCUACUCAUAGUCGGCUCCCUCAUUUGGGCUUCCCCAUUCUCUUCUUCCUCUUCUCUCUCCCAACACCCAUUUCCGGCCACACGUGCCCCCCUCUCAAUUUUUCCCCUAUUUUUUUCUUUUUAUUUUAUUUUUCUUCCUCUUCUACCCAUUUUUCUUCCAAUCUUUUUCCCUCCAUUUUUCUUUCCUUUCUCUUCCUCCACCAUACCCCACUUCCAAAGACACACCACAUGACCCUUUUCUUUUCCCCCUUUUCUCCCAUCCUCUCCUCAUUUCUCCAUUUUUUUUCUACUCUUCAUUUUUUUUUCUUUUUUUAUUUUUUAUUUUAUUCCCAAAAAAGCCAUCAACUAUCUCCGACAUGAUCACCGACCAACCGUCGUCGGCAAACCCCUACUGGCCAACGACCUCCUCUCCUUUUAUCUCAUUCUCUCAUUUUCCCAUCACACCCAAUUCUCAUUAUUAUUAUUAUUAUUAUUAUUAUUAUUAUUAUUAUUAUUAUUAUUAUUAUUACUACUACUACUACUAUUACUAAUUUUUUUUCUUUAUAUUUCUUGAUUUGAUUUUAAUAGUAAUUACGGUUAAAAUUGAGCUUGUGCAUUUAUGUUUAUUUGUGGGCCUUAUGUUUGGGCUUUGUUAAUUAGUAUGAAAUUUAGGUUAAUUUGUUAUUGGUAAAUUAAUAUGAAAUUGGGGAUAAUUUAUUGUUGGUGAAUUAAUUUAGAAUUGACUAAUUUAGAUUAGAUUAAUUGAUAAUUAUAUGGUUGUGCUCAUUUUAAUUAUUUAAUUUGGAUUGAUAUAAUAUUGUGGUAUAUUUUGGAUGUGAGUUUGCAUAUUAAAUUAGGUUGAUUUUGGUUGUGGAUUUAAAUUUUACAUAUUAAAUUGGGCAUCGAUUAUGAGAUAUUAAAUUUAGACUUAAUUGAAUUUAUUUUGAUUUAUUGUAUCUGGGUUUGACUAAUUGUGCUUGUAUUUUGAUAAUUAAUUGAGAAAUUUUGCACUAUGAUUAUUGAUAUGUAAGAUAUUUUUGUAGGGUUAUACUUACUGAUUUGGGUCUAUUUUUAAUUGGUAAAAUUUGUUAAACUAAUUUGAAAUUCGAAUUUGGGUUUGAAUAUUUGUUUAUGAUUUUGUACAUUUCUAGAUAUUUACAUUUGAGCUAUUUUUGUUUUUGCAUGGACCUAUUCUGUAGUUUUGUUGGCUGAAAUUGAUGACACGUGGAACAUGAAAUUUUAUGGAAGAAAGUGAGAUUGAAAAAGCUGUCAAAAGACAUUGAGCUUGUUGUAAGUUUAUUUUGGUACAUAUUUUAUUUCUCACUUUUAUUUGGUUUUAUUUUUAUUAAUUCUUGUAAAUAUUCGUUCGUAUAUAUUUAUUGAGUGUGUACAGAAUUGAACAUCGAACAAACUAGAAAUUUUGUUUAAAUGAGAGGAAGAAUUCAAUAAAUACGUUUGAAUAAAAUAAUAAUUUUAAAAUAAUUUUUUUUAAUAAAAGAAAGUUUUUUUUAUUAUAAAAAUUCAGAAAAAUGCAUUUAGAAAAAUCCAAAAGAAUUGUUUGUAAUAGAAUUUGAAAAAUUGUCCAAAAAUUGUUUUGUAAAUAAAGUUGUCCCAAAAAUUAAUUUUUAAUAAAAUUUUCCAAAAAAUGUUUUUUUUUAAAUGAAUUUUUUUCCUUAAUUAAAAUGAGAUUAAAAGUAUUCUUUUUAGAAAUAAAGGAUUAUUUUUUUUUUCUUUCUUUUUAAUUAAAAUUUCUUUUGUAAAUAAAGUUAUGUAUUUUUAAAUAAUUUCUAUAAAUCUCUUUUUUUAAAUGAAAAUGAAUCAAAAUACUUUUGUAAAUAAAAUUGUAAAAAUUCAUUAUUUCCUAGUAAAAACAAGUAAAAAUAAUCUUUGUGCUCAAAUUGAAAUUUUGUAAUAAAUUCUUUUGAUACAAGAAGUGUAAAUAACUUUUCUUGAAAAUUAAAUACAAAUGAAAUUGAAUCAAAUCACUUGAAGAAAAUAUUUUGUAAAUACGUAAAUUGAAAUCACUUAUUCAAAAUUGUUUUUAAUAAAAUCAUUUGAAAUUUUCAGAAAACUAAUUUUUUUUUCAAAUAUUUUUUUAAUUAGUUCAAUAAAUCAAUUUGCAUAAUCCUCUUGUCACUUAUUUUGUGUAUCAUUGUAAUUAGGUUUCAUCAUUAUUUUUGUGUAUAUUGAUUUUCAUCGUGAUUUGUACAUACUCAUUUGCAUGAUUAUUUUUUUUAUUAUCCAUAAUUAAUUAAUUAAUUGUCACGAUCCCUUAAUUCGUUUAGUAGAAGUCGUACGUAUACGGGCUUAGAGAGGUGCUAUGGCUCACUACCGUACCUUCCUAAUAAGUAACCUGACCCCCAUACCCAGACUCGAUUUUUCACAGACUUAUUUUUCCUUCAAGAGUCAUACUUGGAAUUUUUCUUUCUUAUUUUGUUUUUCCCUUAAAAAAAAAUGGCAAUUCCAAGUCUUUUUCUAAAAAUUAAAUUUUCACAAAAUUCGUAGAAUGCAAACCUCCCACUAUGAUGAGACAUUCGUGCACUAGAAGUAUCAAGAAAGGAAUGUGCUUAUACCUAUAGAACCAUAGUACUCUAUGCAAUAUGAGAAAGAGAUGUGUUUAUACCGUUCCAUAGUACCUUGUGUAAUAUGGGAUUAUCUUCGAAUGUCCUCCGGUCUAUAUCAUUCUUUGCUUUAUUUUUAUCAUAUAUUUUUCAUCAUAAGUUGAUGUUUGUAUCAACAAAUGCUUUCUAAUUGUCUUGACUAUAAAGGUAAUAAUCCUUAAAAUCCUCUUGAAUAUCUUAUAAACUGAUAUGCCUCUUACCUUAUUUCCAACUAGUUUACAUUUGAGUUCAACACGAGUAUUGGACACUCUUAUAUGCAAAUAUUUUUGUAAACCAAGUUUACAACGUGUCCACAUAUCUAGAAGUCAAAGUUACCAACCUAGUAAUGGAAGUAAAAUACAGUCUCCAAGGCAUAUCCCAAACAGAUAUGGGAAGUGAUGAGAAACCAAUUGUCAAUCUCAUUAUAUCUAUCAAAGUUCAAUUUCUUUUUUCCAUUACCCCAUUUGUAAUGAAGUCCUUGGUGCACACAAUUAGGAUAUAAUCACGUGUUCCUAUGGAAAGAAUUGAACCUACUAGACACACCACCUUGAUUUAAUUGAAGUGCAAUGAUAUGUUAACCCAAUAGAUCAUUUGAUUUUGCCUUAAAUACACCAAAUUUAUCUAAGGCAUCAAGUUUCAUAUAUACUAAAUACACAUAUCCAAACCUAGAGUAUUAAAAAAUAAAAGUGAUAAAGCACCCAUACCCUCCUCAUGUAUGAACUCCAAAGUUACAUACAUGUCAAUAUGUACUAACUCCAAACAUUCAUUAGCUCUAUAUCCUUUUGCAAUAAAAGUCUCUUGGUUAUUUUAUCACCUAUACAGGAUUCACAAAUUGGAAGAUCCUUUGGAACCAAAGUGUUUAUACUUAAUCAAUCUUUGGAUCCUGUUUAGAUUUAUAUGACUUAGGCAUUAGAAGUCAAAUGUUUGAUUAAUGCUAGGUUCAUUAUUAAGAUCUAACAAUUCUCAUUACUUAGCAAAGUGGUAAUGGAGUCACACAUAAAAGAGAAAGGUAAUUCCUCCCAGUAGCUUGCACAACUAACCUUGCAAUUGAAGCUAAGAUAAGUACAUCCCCAUUAUGAAACCUUCUCUAUAUCGAAUAUCUUGUAAUUAAUUACAGAUAAUGGGCCUAAAAUGAAUCCACCACUAAAUUUAUUCAACAAUGACUCUAUGAUGUGUACCUUUCUACUCUUAGGCAAUAUGCACAUUCCUUUUUCAAUAUCUCAAAGGGUUACAAAGAAAUUACUCUUCUUGACCUUAUACUCAUUCAUUUUCUUGAACUUUCCUUAUUUGAUGUUAUUCUUCUUCUCUUUGGUAGAAGAGCUUGAGAAACCUCUAACUUCCAUAUGAACACUUUUCAGUUUUUUGAAAUCCUCUUAUCCAUCCUAAUGGAAUUUGGUAAGAUCUUUAAGAUCAUAUAAACUAUGAUGUUCAAAAUAGUCCUAAGGGCAACUUGUUUAUUUAACUUGAAAAAAUAUAAAUUAAGUGGGACCCACUUAUUUUAUUUUAGUUCUAAUUUUAUUAAAAAUAAAUAUAUUUUAUAAAUAAAUAAAUAUUAUAAAAUUUUAGACCUAUUUUAUCUAAGAAGUAGAUUGUUUUUAUUAUUGUAUGUGUUAAAAAUAAAAUAAAAAUUAAAUUAAAUUAUUUUAAAAUUUAACUACAUAUAUAAUUGGAACAUAACAUAAUAAGACAAUAUUUUAUCUUAUCUCAAAUUAUAAUAACUACAAAUUUUUAUAAUUAGUUUGAAGAAAGAAAUUACUAUUUUUGUUACCAGAUGAGGCAUUCCUUCAUCCAAAUUUAGUUCAAAUGGGUUUGCAAAAUUUUUUUCAAAGAAGUGAAUGUUCACAUGGGCUUUAUUUGAUUGGAAAGAGUUGAAGCAAGUUCUUAUGUUGUUAAUUAGUUUAGCAAUUAUCAAUUGUCAUUAGAGCUAACAUUCUUUUGUUAUAGUAGGUUCUCUAUGCUUCUAGAAUCUUCCAAUUGUAUCUCCACUCAAAUAUAAUAACUUAAGAAGAUCAAAAGUCCUGAACAAUUGUUGAAAACUCAUACAUAAGAUACUAUGAAAUUGUUUCUCUAUUCAUUGUUUUUUUUAAUAUGGUAUCAAAGCCAUUUGACUUACCUCUAUGGCUUAAGUUGCAACAAUGACAAUUAGUGUCUUCUCAUCGAGCACCUCCAAUGGCAACUCCCUCAUUGACAUUCUCAUCCAUACUUUCUCCACUAUCUUUGAAACUCACAAGGAACAACUAUGGAUUUUGGCACUUACAAAUUCUUCUUAUUGUGCAAGCUCUUGAUCUUGAAGGUUAUUUGCUUAGAACAAUAGUGUGUCCCCCUUGUUUCAUCUUGAACAGAAAUGAAAACUCUUUAAUAAUCAAUCUAUAAUUUGUGACCUAGGCCAUAAUAGACCAAUUCAUCUUGAGUGGGCUUCUUUUUUUUUUUUUCUUUCUAAGCCAAUGUUUGGUCGUAUUGUUCAAUGUAAAACUGUUGUUGAAGUGUGGCAUAUUUUUUUAUCAUUUGUUCUUCAUCAACUCCAAAUCUCGAGUACAACAUCUUCAAUAUACGUUUUUGUAAGAAGCUUUUAAGGGUUCUUUGAGUAUUGCUAACUAUUUUCUACGAAUGAAGGAGAUUGUUGAUACUUUGUCUGCAAUUGGUAAGCCUAUCGCUAAUGAGCAAUUGUUGAUGUGCAUCUUUGGUGGUUUAGUCAUGAAUUUGAUGAUGUAAUUGUCAAUCUUCAAUCAAGAAAAGAUUUUGUCUUUGUUGAAGAAGCUCGGUUUCUUUUUCAAAAUUAUGAGAUGAGAAUUAAAAAACUCAACUCUAUUUCAAGAAUCAAUAAUCGACCCUUUAAUAACUUUGUUGCCAAGGCCACAAAAGAAAUAAGUACCAUUUCUCUAGAGCUCCUAACGUAGUUCUUUUGUAGUGGUCAUAUUGCAUUGAAGUGUUACCAUUGGUUCAACAUUAGCUUCAUAGAACCACCACAACAAUAGCAAUACAAAAAUUAUGCUCAAUAAGACACUCAUUCACAAGACAAUGCUCAAGCUUACUUUGUCAUGGUAGCCACAUUUUAUGAUCUUAAUUGGUAUAUGGAUACAAAAGCAACAAAUCGCAUUACUACUAAUCUCAACAAUCUAACCCUCAAGAUAGACUACAAAAGCAAAGAAACACUUGAUGUAGACAAUGGUAAUUCUCUAAAAAUACGUCGUAUUGAUUUUUUAACUAUAUCCUCUAGUUUUUCACCGCAACCAUUAUAUCUCAAGGAUAUCUUAUACAUACAUAUAAUUACAAAAAUUUUAUGUAGCAUCUCUAAAUUCAUCGAGGACAACAAUAUAGUUGUCGAAUUAUAUGAUGAUUGUUGUCUUGUGAAGGACAAGAACAUGAGGAGGAUUUUGAUGUAGGGCAAGCUUAAAGGAGGGCUUUAUCAACUUGAUGUUCUAGUUUUCUCAAGAAACUUGAAAACUUUCUCGACCUCUAGCUUCAAUUUUCCUUUAGUGUCUUUAGCACAUGUUAAAUCUAAUGAGUCUUCUACGAAGGUUAUGGACACUUGGAAUAGCAGGCUUGGUAAACCUUAUGACCAAGUGUUGAAGAAUGUACUCACGAUUUUACAUUUGUCUCUUAUAGCUAAGAAUCUUCAAUUCUGUGAAGCUAGUCAGUAGGAAAAAACAUGCUAGAUGUUUUUAGAGCUAAGGACUUUGCUUCUAGAAUCUUCUAAUUGUAUCUACUCUUAAAUAUAACUCAAGAAGAUCAAAAGCCCUAUUAAAUUGCUGGAAACUCCUAUGAAGAAACACUUUGAAAUUGUUUCUCUUAUUAAUUUUGUAUGCUUUAGAUCAAUGUCACAUGAAACUAUGGGGGCAAACCCAUCUAAAAAAAGGCCCCUCUUUCCUCAGACCCCUUCUUGUAUUUCUUUUUCUUAAUCACUAAAAGGCCUUAUUCCCUACAAAUUUUCUUGCAAACCAAACAUCAGGGGGAAACUUCAACCUUUCUUUCAUUACUUUCCCCCACCCUCCCUCAACAGAACACUUUAGCUUAAUUACAAAGCUCCGACAGUACUUCAAAGAUUGGAAAAAAUACACAAGGGAGAAACAGAAAAACUAAUCAAAAUUCCAUAGAUUUACCAAAUUCUCACUGGAUCUAGAAGAAAAAACAUACAAAGAUCGUCUCAUCUACAUACAAAACCUCUCACAUAUCCUUCAGACAUGAAACAUCCCUAGAACCCUUAUCCACAGCUGCUGCAGUCAACCUCUCAGCGACUAAGUGUGGGAAGCAACAAUCCACUUGGGUCAACCAGGAAACCCCAAUAUUCCUCCAUGAAGACUCCAACACCAGUAAAACAACAUACAGAAACACCACCACAGAGAUUGCAGUGGAGAGACAAAGCUGAUCUUCUGUCAAACUCAACAACAUCUUCACACAUAGAAAUGUUUGGGGUUGGGUUGUGAGGAGUGGAGACAGAGAUAAAAGGAAGCUAUAUGCAGAUGGGAAAGGAGUUGUUUCAAUGAAUUUGGUAUGGUGGAUGAAUCAAAGGUGUUCAAUCAGUGAGUGUCAGAGGGGGGCGCAUGAAGACUUCUGAGUGAAGUCAUGAUGAGGGUGUGGGCACCAUUCAUUGAAUAUGAGUGCAUGUUGCUGUGGGUUAUCACCCUUUAUCAUAUUCUUUUGAUGGAAUCUCGCUCUAUGUUCAUGCAUCACUGUUAUGUUCCCUACAAUACAUGCAUCUUCUUAGGGAGAUCAAAAAUUAGAAACAUUUGUCAUUAUCUUCUAGAAUGCAAUUUUACC